CGGGAAGUAGCUCAGCUUGGCAGAGCACUUGGUUUGGGACCAAGGGGUCGCAGGUUCAAAUCCUGUCUUCCCGA
rfam:Bacillus sp. JCM 19045 DNA, contig: contig00062.